UCGAUGGUCGACAUGUUUUGGUCAGCAGGAUCUGUAGACGUUCCGUUAGCGAAACCCAAACGGUCUGAAAAGGUAUUCAUUGCAUAAUCUGAAAUGUUUCUAAUUUCAUCCUUUGCAAGCAGUGCCUGUUGUUGCAUUUCUUUGAAUCUUGUUUGCCAUUGUUGUAAAAGAUCAAUAGAUGAAGCGUUGGGUCCAGAGGUUGAAUGGCACAAAGCUGCAGCAGUCAAUUCACGAUGCACCGCCUUCAGUACAUCAAUUGUCGAGGCAUUUUUGUCAAGAGACUCAGUAAUCGUUCCAUUAGGAGUAGUCAGGAUGUGUGAAAAUGUAUUUGAGACAAAGUCUGCAAUGUUUUUCACUUCAUCCUUUGCGAGCAGUGCCUGUUGCUCAACUCCUUUGAACUGUCUUUGCCACUCUUGUAAUGUUUCCAUUGCCGAAGCAUUUGGUCCAAGGAUUGCUGGACUUGUUUGGCCAAGUGAAGCCCCUAUUGCUUUUAAACCUAAGCUUAUAAUGUCUUCUGCAUACUUUGCAAUGUUCUCAGUUUCAUCAGCAGUUGAUAACAGUUGAUUUUGGGACUGCUUCAAUGCCCCCUGCAACUCUGUUAAAUUUUGUGUUGGCAUGCUAGUUGGUCCAUCAACCGUGUCAUUUAAAACUCCGUUGGAAACAUUUGCAUUUUCAGAGACCAAAUCAGUCCAAUCUCUCGCAAAACUGUUCAUGCUGAGAAUUCCAUCUUUGGUCAAGAGGAGUUGUUCCUGAGCAGACUUCAAUCCUUGUUGUAUAUCUUUCAUUCUUUCAGCUGCUGCAGUGGUAUUGGUUACAAAUAUUGGGUUACUAGAUUGGCUUGUUGAAGCGAUGGUUUUGUUGUCCCCCAAAUUCAUUAAGUCAAGAGUGGCGAGAGCGAUGUCCUUAAUCUCCUCUUUGGCCACAAGUAAUAUUUCUUUCGCCUGCAUUAAUUUUUCUUGCCAAUCUCGAAGUGUUUGGAUCGGAGUAGUUUUUAGCUCAGGACUUGUGUCAUUUACCUCUUGCACUGAAUCGUCAAUGGGGCUAGGGUUUAAUUCACUGGUAAACUUUGUCGCAAAUCCGGUAAUGUUUUUAAUUUCAUCGUUGGUAAGCAACAGUAGUUCCUGGGUUCGCUUCAAUUUCCUUUGCAAGUCGUUUAAGGUUUCUAUUGUGGCUGGGUCAUGUUCUAGAGGUGUGGCAUUCACUGGCAAAGUGUAAGCAUCCAGCAAUUUUUGUGUUUCUGGCACCAUAAACUCUCUGGCAAAGUUUGCAAUGUUCGCAAUUUCAUCCUCUGCUAGAAGCAAUUGCUCUUUAUUCUGUUUCAACUCCCUUUUCCAUUCUUGUAACAUUUCAAGUGUUGUGGCAUUUUCUACGGCCAUCGAGUCAUUUCCAUCAUUUCUGGACAGGGUAAUGUUUUGAUAUUCUAUCUUGACAACAUCGGAAACCUCUUUCAUUUGUUUCUCACACAGAGCUGUAGCAGACAAUUCACGAUGCACGGCCUGCAGAAUGUCGAUGGUCGACAUGUUUUGGUCAGCAGGAUCUGUAGACGUUCCGUUAGCGAAACCCAAACGGUCUGAAAAGGUAUUCAUUGCAUAAUCUGAAAUGUUUCUAAUUUCAUCCUUUGCAAGCAGUGCCUGUUGUUGCAUUUCUUUGAAUCUUGUUUGCCAUUGUUGUAAAAGAUCAAUAGAUGAAGCGUUGGGUCCAGAGGUUGAAUGGCACAAAGCUGCAGCAGUCAAUUCACGAUGCACCGCCUUCAGUACAUCAAUUGUCGAGGCAUUUUUGUCAAGAGACUCAGUAAUCGUUCCAUUAGGAGUAGUCAGGAUGUGUGAAAAUGUAUUUGAGACAAAGUCUGCAAUGUUUUUCACUUCAUCCUUUGCGAGCAGUGCCUGUUGCUCAACUCCUUUGAACUGUCUUUGCCACUCUUGUAAUGUUUCCAUUGCCGAAGCAUUUGGUCCAAGGAUUGCUGGACUUGUUUGGCCAAGUGAAGCCCCUAUUGCUUUUAAACCUAAGCUUAUAAUGUCUUCUGCAUACUUUGCAAUGUUCUCAGUUUCAUCAGCAGUUGAUAACAGUUGAUUUUGGGACUGCUUCAAUGCCCCCUGCAACUCUGUUAAAUUUUGUGUUGGCAUGCUAGUUGGUCCAUCAACCGUGUCAUUUAAAACUCCGUUGGAAACAUUUGCAUUUUCAGAGACCAAAUCAGUCCAAUCUCUCGCAAAACUGUUCAUGCUGAGAAUUCCAUCUUUGGUCAAGAGGAGUUGUUCCUGAGCAGACUUCAAUCCUUGUUGUAUAUCUUUCAUUCUUUCAGCUGCUGCAGUGGUAUUGGUUACAAAUAUUGGGUUACUAGAUUGGCUUGUUGAAGCGAUGGUUUUGUUGUCCCCCAAAUUCAUUAAGUCAAGAGUGGCGAGAGCGAUGUCCUUAAUCUCCUCUUUGGCCACAAGUAAUAUUUCUUUCGCCUGCAUUAAUUUUUCUUGCCAAUCUCGAAGUGUUUGGAUCGGAGUAGUUUUUAGCUCAGGACUUGUGUCAUUUACCUCUUGCACUGAAUCGUCAAUGGGGCUAGGGUUUAAUUCACUGGUAAACUUUGUCGCAAAUCCGGUAAUGUUUUUAAUUUCAUCGUUGGUAAGCAACAGUAGUUCCUGGGUUCGCUUCAAUUUCCUUUGCAAGUCGUUUAUGGUUUCUAUUGUGGCUGGGUCAUGUUCUAGAGGUGUGGCAUUCACUGGCAAAGUGUAAGCAUCCAGCAAUUUUUGUGUUUCUGGCACCAUAAACUCUCUGGCAAAGUUUGCAAUGUUCGCAAUUUCAUCCUCUGCUAGAAGCAAUUGCUCUUUAUUCUGUUUCAACUCCCUUUUCCAUUCUUGUAACAUUUCAAGUGUUGUGGCAUUUUCUACGGCCAUCGAGUCAUUUCCAUCAUUUCUGGACAGGAGCUGUAGCAGACAAUUCACGAUGCACGGCCUGCAGAAUGUCGAUGGUCGACAUGUUUUGGUCAGCAGGAUCUGUAGACGUUCCGUUAGCGAAACCCAAACGGUCUGAAAAGGUAUUCAUUGCAUAAUCUGAAAUGUUUCUAAUUUCAUCCUUUGCAAGCAGUGCCUGUUGUUGCAUUUCUUUGAAUCUUGUUUGCCAUUGUUGUAAAAGAUCAAUAGAUGAAGCGUUGGGUCCAGAGGUUGAAUGGCACAAAGCUGCAGCAGUCAAUUCACGAUGCACCGCCUUCAGUACAUCAAUUGUCGAGGCAUUUUUGUCAAGAGACUCAGUAAUCGUUCCAUUAGGAGUAGUCAGGAUGUGUGAAAAUGUAUUUGAGACAAAGUCUGCAAUGUUUUUCACUUCAUCCUUUGCGAGCAGUGCCUGUUGCUCAACUCCUUUGAACUGUCUUUGCCACUCUUGUAAUGUUUCCAUUGCCGAAGCAUUUGGUCCAAGGAUUGCUGGACUUGUUUGGCCAAGUGAAGCCCCUAUUGCUUUUAAACCUAAGCUUAUAAUGUCUUCUGCAUACUUUGCAAUGUUCUCAGUUUCAUCAGCAGUUGAUAACAGUUGAUUUUGGGACUGCUUCAAUGCCCCCUGCAACUCUGUUAAAUUUUGUGUUGGCAUGCUAGUUGGUCCAUCAACCGUGUCAUUUAAAACUCCGUUGGAAACAUUUGCAUUUUCAGAGACCAAAUCAGUCCAAUCUCUCGCAAAACUGUUCAUGCUGAGAAUUCCAUCUUUGGUCAAGAGGAGUUGUUCCUGAGCAGACUUCAAUCCUUGUUGUAUAUCUUUCAUUCUUUCAGCUGCUGCAGUGGUAUUGGUUACAAAUAUUGGGUUACUAGAUUGGCUUGUUGAAGCGAUGGUUUUAUUGUCCCCCAAAUUCAUUAAGUCAAGAGUGGCGAGAGCGAUGUCCUUAAUCUCCUCUUUGGCCACAAGUAAUAUUUCUUUCGCCUGCAUUAAUUUUUCUUGCCAAUCUCGAAGUGUUUGGAUCGGAGUAGUUUUUAGCUCAGGACUUGUGUCAUUUACCUCUUGCACUGAAUCGUCAAUGGGGCUAGGGUUUAAUUCACUGGUAAACUUUGUCGCAAAUCCGGUAAUGUUUUUAAUUUCAUCGUUGGUAAGCAACAGUAGUUCCUGGGUUCGCUUCAAUUUCCUUUGCAAGUCGUUUAAGGUUUCUAUUGUGGCUGGGUCAUGUUCUAGAGGUGUGGCAUUCACUGGCAAAGUGUAAGCAUCCAGCAAUUUUUGUGUUUCUGGCACCAUAAACUCUCUGGCAAAGUUUGCAAUGUUCGCAAUUUCAUCCUCUGCUAGAAGCAAUUGCUCUUUAUUCUGUUUCCACUCCCUUUUCCAUUCUUGUAACAUUUCAAGUGUUGUGGCAUUUUCUACGGCCAUCGAGUCAUUUCCAUCAUUUCUGGACAGGGUGAUGUUUUGAUAUUCUAUCUUGACAACAUCGGAAACCUCUUUCAUUUGUUUCUCACACAGAGCUGUAGCAGACAAUUCACGAUGCACGGCCUGCAGAAUGUCGAUGGUCGACAUGUUUUGGUCAGCAGGAUCUGUAGACGUUCCGUUAGCGAAACCCAAACGGUCUGAAAAGGUAUUCAUUGCAUAAUCUGAAAUGUUUCUAAUUUCAUCCUUUGCAAGCAGUGCCUGUUGUUGCAUUUCUUUGAAUCUUGUUUGCCAUUGUUGUAAAAGAUCAAUAGAUGAAGCGUUGGGUCCAGAGGUUGAAUGGCACAAAGCUGCAGCAGUCAAUUCACGAUGCACCGCCUUCAGUACAUCAAUUGUCGAGGCAUUUUUGUCAAGAGACUCAGUAAUCGUUCCAUUAGGAGUAGUCAGGAUGUGUGAAAAUGUAUUUGAGACAAAGUCUGCAAUGUUUUUCACUUCAUCCUUUGCGAGCAGUGCCUGUUGCUCAACUCCUUUGAACUGUCUUUGCCACUCUUGUAAUGUUUCCAUUGCCGAAGCAUUUGGUCCAAGGAUUGCUGGACUUGUUUGGCCAAGUGAAGCCCCUAUUGCUUUUAAACCUAAGCUUAUAAUGUCUUCUGCAUACUUUGCAAUGUUCUCAGUUUCAUCAGCAGUUGAUAACAGUUGAUUUUGGGACUGCUUCAAUGCCCCCUGCAACUCUGUUAAAUUUUGUGUUGGCAUGCUAGUUGGUCCAUCAACCGUGUCAUUUAAAACUCCGUUGGAAACAUUUGCAUUUUCAGAGACCAAAUCAGUCCAAUCUCUCGCAAAACUGUUCAUGCUGAGAAUUCCAUCUUUGGUCAAGAGGAGUUGUUCCUGAGCAGACUUCAAUCCUUGUUGUAUAUCUUUCAUUCUUUCAGCUGCUGCAGUGGUAUUGGUUACAAAUAUUGGGUUACUAGAUUGGCUUGUUGAAGCGAUGGUUUUGUUGUCCCCCAAAUUCAUUAAGUCAAGAGUGGCGAGAGCGAUGUCCUUAAUCUCCUCUUUGGCCACAAGUAAUAUUUCUUUCGCCUGCAUUAAUUUUUCUUGCCAAUCUCGAAGUGUUUGGAUCGGAGUAGUUUUUAGCUCAGGACUUGUGUCAUUUACCUCUUGCACUGAAUCGUCAAUGGGGCUAGGGUUUAAUUCACUGGUAAACUUUGUCGCAAAUCCGGUAAUGUUUUUAAUUUCAUCGUUGGUAAGCAACAGUAGUUCCUGGGUUCGCUUCAAUUUCCUUUGCAAGUCGUUUAAGGUUUCUAUUGUGGCUGGGUCAUGUUCUAGAGGUGUGGCAUUCACUGGCAAAAUGUAAGCAUCCAGCAAUUUUUGUGUUUCUGGCACCAUAAACUCUCUGGCAAAGUUUGCAAUGUUCGCAAUUUCAUCCUCUGCUAGAAGCAAUUGCUCUUUAUUCUGUUUCAACUCCCUUUUCCAUUCUUGUAACAUUUCAAGUGUUGUGGCAUUUUCUACGGCCAUCGAGUCAUUUCCAUCAUUUCUGGACAGGGUAAUGUUUUGAUAUUCUAUCUUGACAACAUCGGAAACCUCUUUCAUUUGUUUCUCACACAGAGCUGUAGCAGACAAUUCACGAUGCACGGCCUGCAGAAUGUCGAUGGUCGACAUGUUUUGGUCAGCAGGAUCUGUAGACGUUCCGUUAGCGAAACCCAAACGGUCUGAAAAGGUAUUCAUUGCAUAAUCUGAAAUGUUUCUAAUUUCAUCCUUUGCAAGCAGUGCCUGUUGUUGCAUUUCUUUGAAUCUUGUUUGCCAUUGUUGUAAAAGAUCAAUAGAUGAAGCGUUGGGUCCAGAGGUUGAAUGGCACAAAGCUGCAGCAGUCAAUUCACGAUGCACCGCCUUCAGUACAUCAAUUGUCGAGGCAUUUUUGUCAAGAGACUCAGUAAUCGUUCCAUUAGGAGUAGUCAGGAUGUGUGAAAAUGUAUUUGAGACAAAGUCUGCAAUGUUUUUCACUUCAUCCUUUGCGAGCAGUGCCUGUUGCUCAACUCCUUUGAACUGUCUUUGCCACUCUUGUAAUGUUUCCAUUGCCGAAGCAUUUGGUCCAAGGAUUGCUGGACUUGUUUGGCCAAGUGAAGCCCCUAUUGCUUUUAAACCUAAGCUUAUAAUGUCUUCUGCAUACUUUGCAAUGUUCUCAGUUUCAUCAGCAGUUGAUAACAGUUGAUUUUGGGACUGCUUCAAUGCCCCCUGCAACUCUGUUAAAUUUUGUGUUGGCAUGCUAGUUGGUCCAUCAACCGUGUCAUUUAAAACUCCGUUGGAAACAUUUGCAUUUUCAGAGACCAAAUCAGUCCAAUCUCUCGCAAAACUGUUCAUGCUGAGAAUUCCAUCUUUGGUCAAGAGGAGUUGUUCCUGAGCAGACUUCAAUCCUUGUUGUAUAUCUUUCAUUCUUUCAGCUGCUGCAGUGGUAUUGGUUACAAAUAUUGGGUUACUAGAUUGGCUUGUUGAAGCGAUGGUUUUAUUGUCCCCCAAAUUCAUUAAGUCAAGAGUGGCGAGAGCGAUGUCCUUAAUCUCCUCUUUGGCCACAAGUAAUAUUUCUUUCGCCUGCAUUAAUUUUUCUUGCCAAUCUCGAAGUGUUUGGAUCGGAGUAGUUUUUAGCUCAGGACUUGUGUCAUUUACCUCUUGCACUGAAUCGUCAAUGGGGCUAGGGUUUAAUUCACUGGUAAACUUUGUCGCAAAUCCGGUAAUGUUUUUAAUUUCAUCGUUGGUAAGCAACAGUAGUUCCUGGGUUCGCUUCAAUUUCCUUUGCAAGUCGUUUAAGGUUUCUAUUGUGGCUGGGUCAUGUUCUAGAGGUGUGGCAUUCACUGGCAAAGUGUAAGCAUCCAGCAAUUUUUGUGUUUCUGGCACCAUAAACUCUCUGGCAAAGUUUGCAAUGUUCGCAAUUUCAUCCUCUGCUAGAAGCAAUUGCUCUUUAUUCUGUUUCAACUCCCUUUUCCAUUCUUGUAACAUUUCAAGUGUUGUGGCAUUUUCUACGGCCAUCGAGUCAUUUCCAUCAUUUCUGGACAGGAGCUGUAGCAGACAAUUCACGAUGCACGGCCUGCAGAAUGUCGAUGGUCGACAUGUUUUGGUCAGCAGGAUCUGUAGACGUUCCGUUAGCGAAACCCAAACGGUCUGAAAAGGUAUUCAUUGCAUAAUCUGAAAUGUUUCUAAUUUCAUCCUUUGCAAGCAGUGCCUGUUGUUGCAUUUCUUUGAAUCUUGUUUGCCAUUGUUGUAAAAGAUCAAUAGAUGAAGCGUUGGGUCCAGAGGUUGAAUGGCACAAAGCUGCAGCAGUCAAUUCACGAUGCACCGCCUUCAGUACAUCAAUUGUCGAGGCAUUUUUGUCAAGAGACUCAGUAAUCGUUCCAUUAGGAGUAGUCAGGAUGUGUGAAAAUGUAUUUGAGACAAAGUCUGCAAUGUUUUUCACUUCAUCCUUUGCGAGCAGUGCCUGUUGCUCAACUCCUUUGAACUGUCUUUGCCACUCUUGUAAUGUUUCCAUUGCCGAAGCAUUUGGUCCAAGGAUUGCUGGACUUGUUUGGCCAAGUGAAGCCCCUAUUGCUUUUAAACCUAAGCUUAUAAUGUCUUCUGCAUACUUUGCAAUGUUCUCAGUUUCAUCAGCAGUUGAUAACAGUUGAUUUUGGGACUGCUUCAAUGCCCCCUGCAACUCUGUUAAAUUUUGUGUUGGCAUGCUAGUUGGUCCAUCAACCGUGUCAUUUAAAACUCCGUUGGAAACAUUUGCAUUUUCAGAGACCAAAUCAGUCCAAUCUCUCGCAAAACUGUUCAUGCUGAGAAUUCCAUCUUUGGUCAAGAGGAGUUGUUCCUGAGCAGACUUCAAUCCUUGUUGUAUAUCUUUCAUUCUUUCAGCUGCUGCAGUGGUAUUGGUUACAAAUAUUGGGUUACUAGAUUGGCUUGUUGAAGCGAUGGUUUUAUUGUCCCCCAAAUUCAUUAAGUCAAGAGUGGCGAGAGCGAUGUCCUUAAUCUCCUCUUUGGCCACAAGUAAUAUUUCUUUCGCCUGCAUUAAUUUUUCUUGCCAAUCUCGAAGUGUUUGGAUCGGAGUAGUUUUUAGCUCAGGACUUGUGUCAUUUACCUCUUGCACUGAAUCGUCAAUGGGGCUAGGGUUUAAUUCACUGGUAAACUUUGUCGCAAAUCCGGUAAUGUUUUUAAUUUCAUCGUUGGUAAGCAACAGUAGUUCCUGGGUUCGCUUCAAUUUCCUUUGCAAGUCGUUUAAGGUUUCUAUUGUGGCUGGGUCAUGUUCUAGAGGUGUGGCAUUCACUGGCAAAGUGUAAGCAUCCAGCAAUUUUUGUGUUUCUGGCACCAUAAACUCUCUGGCAAAGUUUGCAAUGUUCGCAAUUUCAUCCUCUGCUAGAAGCAAUUGCUCUUUAUUCUGUUUCAACUCCCUUUUCCAUUCUUGUAACAUUUCAAGUGUUGUGGCAUUUUCUACGGCCAUCGAGUCAUUUCCAUCAUUUCUGGACAGGGUAAUGUUUUGAUAUUCUAUCUUGACAACAUCGGAAACCUCUUUCAUUUGUUUCUCACACAGAGCUGUAGCAGACAAUUCACGAUGCACGGCCUGCAGAAUGUCGAUGGUCGACAUGUUUUGGUCAGCAGGAUCUGUAGACGUUCCGUUAGCGAAACCCAAACGGUCUGAAAAGGUAUUCAUUGCAUAAUCUGAAAUGUUUCUAAUUUCAUCCUUUGCAAGCAGUGCCUGUUGUUGCAUUUCUUUGAAUCUUGUUUGCCAUUGUUGUAAAAGAUCAAUAGAUGAAGCGUUGGGUCCAGAGGUUGAAUGGCACAAAGCUGCAGCAGUCAAUUCACGAUGCACCGCCUUCAGUACAUCAAUUGUCGAGGCAUUUUUGUCAAGAGACUCAGUAAUCGUUCCAUUAGGAGUAGUCAGGAUGUGUGAAAAUGUAUUUGAGACAAAGUCUGCAAUGUUUUUCACUUCAUCCUUUGCGAGCAGUGCCUGUUGCUCAACUCCUUUGAACUGUCUUUGCCACUCUUGUAAUGUUUCCAUUGCCGAAGCAUUUGGUCCAAGGAUUGCUGGACUUGUUUGGCCAAGUGAAGCCCCUAUUGCUUUUAAACCUAAGCUUAUAAUGUCUUCUGCAUACUUUGCAAUGUUCUCAGUUUCAUCAGCAGUUGAUAACAGUUGAUUUUGGGACUGCUUCAAUGCCCCCUGCAACUCUGUUAAAUUUUGUGUUGGCAUGCUAGUUGGUCCAUCAACCGUGUCAUUUAAAACUCCGUUGGAAACAUUUGCAUUUUCAGAGACCAAAUCAGUCCAAUCUCUCGCAAAACUGUUCAUGCUGAGAAUUCCAUCUUUGGUCAAGAGGAGUUGUUCCUGAGCAGACUUCAAUCCUUGUUGUAUAUCUUUCAUUCUUUCAGCUGCUGCAGUGGUAUUGGUUACAAAUAUUGGGUUACUAGAUUGGCUUGUUGAAGCGAUGGUUUUAUUGUCCCCCAAAUUCAUUAAGUCAAGAGUGGCGAGAGCGAUGUCCUUAAUCUCCUCUUUGGCCACAAGUAAUAUUUCUUUCGCCUGCAUUAAUUUUUCUUGCCAAUCUCGAAGUGUUUGGAUCGGAGUAGUUUUUAGCUCAGGACUUGUGUCAUUUACCUCUUGCACUGAAUCGUCAAUGGGGCUAGGGUUUAAUUCACUGGUAAACUUUGUCGCAAAUCCGGUAAUGUUUUUAAUUUCAUCGUUGGUAAGCAACAGUAGUUCCUGGGUUCGCUUCAAUUUCCUUUGCAAGUCGUUUAAGGUUUCUAUUGUGGCUGGGUCAUGUUCUAGAGGUGUGGCAUUCACUGGCAAAGUGUAAGCAUCCAGCAAUUUUUGUGUUUCUGGCACCAUAAACUCUCUGGCAAAGUUUGCAAUGUUCGCAAUUUCAUCCUCUGCUAGAAGCAAUUGCUCUUUAUUCUGUUUCAACUCCCUUUUCCAUUCUUGUAACAUUUCAAGUGUUGUGGCAUUUUCUACGGCCAUCGAGUCAUUUCCAUCAUUUCUGGACAGGGUAAUGUUUUGAUAUUCUAUCUUGACAACAUCGGAAACCUCUUUCAUUUGUUUCUCACACAGAGCUGUAGCAGACAAUUCACGAUGCACGGCCUGCAGAAUGUCGAUGGUCGACAUGUUUUGGUCAGCAGGAUCUGUAGACGUUCCGUUAGCGAAACCCAAACGGUCUGAAAAGGUAUUCAUUGCAUAAUCUGAAAUGUUUCUAAUUUCAUCCUUUGCAAGCAGUGCCUGUUGUUGCAUUUCUUUGAAUCUUGUUUGCCAUUGUUGUAAAAGAUCAAUAGAUGAAGCGUUGGGUCCAGAGGUUGAAUGGCACAAAGCUGCAGCAGUCAAUUCACGAUGCACCGCCUUCAGUACAUCAAUUGUCGAGGCAUUUUUGUCAAGAGACUCAGUAAUCGUUCCAUUAGGAGUAGUCAGGAUGUGUGAAAAUGUAUUUGAGACAAAGUCUGCAAUGUUUUUCACUUCAUCCUUUGCGAGCAGUGCCUGUUGCUCAACUCCUUUGAACUGUCUUUGCCACUCUUGUAAUGUUUCCAUUGCCGAAGCAUUUGGUCCAAGGAUUGCUGGACUUGUUUGGCCAAGUGAAGCCCCUAUUGCUUUUAAACCUAAGCUUAUAAUGUCUUCUGCAUACUUUGCAAUGUUCUCAGUUUCAUCAGCAGUUGAUAACAGUUGAUUUUGGGACUGCUUCAAUGCCCCCUGCAACUCUGUUAAAUUUUGUGUUGGCAUGCUAGUUGGUCCAUCAACCGUGUCAUUUAAAACUCCGUUGGAAACAUUUGCAUUUUCAGAGACCAAAUCAGUCCAAUCUCUCGCAAAACUGUUCAUGCUGAGAAUUCCAUCUUUGGUCAAGAGGAGUUGUUCCUGAGCAGACUUCAAUCCUUGUUGUAUAUCUUUCAUUCUUUCAGCUGCUGCAGUGGUAUUGGUUACAAAUAUUGGGUUACUAGAUUGGCUUGUUGAAGCGAUGGUUUUAUUGUCCCCCAAAUUCAUUAAGUCAAGAGUGGCGAGAGCGAUGUCCUUAAUCUCCUCUUUGGCCACAAGUAAUAUUUCUUUCGCCUGCAUUAAUUUUUCUUGCCAAUCUCGAAGUGUUUGGAUCGGAGUAGUUUUUAGCUCAGGACUUGUGUCAUUUACCUCUUGCACUGAAUCGUCAAUGGGGCUAGGGUUUAAUUCACUGGUAAACUUUGUCGCAAAUCCGGUAAUGUUUUUAAUUUCAUCGUUGGUAAGCAACAGUAGUUCCUGGGUUCGCUUCAAUUUCCUUUGCAAGUCGUUUAAGGUUUCUAUUGUGGCUGGGUCAUGUUCUAGAGGUGUGGCAUUCACUGGCAAAGUGUAAGCAUCCAGCAAUUUUUGUGUUUCUGGCACCAUAAACUCUCUGGCAAAGUUUGCAAUGUUCGCAAUUUCAUCCUCUGCUAGAAGCAAUUGCUCUUUAUUCUGUUUCCACUCCCUUUUCCAUUCUUGUAACAUUUCAAGUGUUGUGGCAUUUUCUACGGCCAUCGAGUCAUUUCCAUCAUUUCUGGACAGGGUGAUGUUUUGAUAUUCUAUCUUGACAACAUCGGAAACCUCUUUCAUUUGUUUCUCACACAGAGCUGUAGCAGACAAUUCACGAUGCACGGCCUGCAGAAUGUCGAUGGUCGACAUGUUUUGGUCAGCAGGAUCUGUAGACGUUCCGUUAGCGAAACCCAAACGGUCUGAAAAGGUAUUCAUUGCAUAAUCUGAAAUGUUUCUAAUUUCAUCCUUUGCAAGCAGUGCCUGUUGUUGCAUUUCUUUGAAUCUUGUUUGCCAUUGUUGUAAAAGAUCAAUAGAUGAAGCGUUGGGUCCAGAGGUUGAAUGGCACAAAGCUGCAGCAGUCAAUUCACGAUGCACCGCCUUCAGUACAUCAAUUGUCGAUGCAUUUUUGUCAAGAGACUCAGUAAUCGUUCCAUUAGGAGUAGUCAGGAUGUGUGAAAAUGUAUUUGAGACAAAGUCUGCAAUGUUUUUCACUUCAUCCUUUGCGAGCAGUGCCUGUUGCUCAACUCCUUUGAACUGUCUUUGCCACUCUUGUAAUGUUUCCAUUGCCGAAGCAUUUGGUCCAAGGAUUGCUGGACUUGUUUGGCCAAGUGAAGCCCCUAUUGCUUUUAAACCUAAGCUUAUAAUGUCUUCUGCAUACUUUGCAAUGUUCUCAGUUUCAUCAGCAGUUGAUAACAGUUGAUUUUGGGACUGCUUCAAUGCCCCCUGCAACUCUGUUAAAUUUUGUGUUGGCAUGCUAGUUGGUCCAUCAACCGUGUCAUUUAAAACUCCGUUGGAAACAUUUGCAUUUUCAGAGACCAAAUCAGUCCAAUCUCUCGCAAAACUGUUCAUGCUGAGAAUUCCAUCUUUGGUCAAGAGGAGUUGUUCCUGAGCAGACUUCAAUCCUUGUUGUAUAUCUUUCAUUCUUUCAGCUGCUGCAGUGGUAUUGGUUACAAAUAUUGGGUUACUAGAUUGGCUUGUUGAAGCGAUGGUUUUAUUGUCCCCCAAAUUCAUUAAGUCAAGAGUGGCGAGAGCGAUGUCCUUAAUCUCCUCUUUGGCCACAAGUAAUAUUUCUUUCGCCUGCAUUAAUUUUUCUUGCCAAUCUCGAAGUGUUUGGAUCGGAGUAGUUUUUAGCUCAGGACUUGUGUCAUUUACCUCUUGCACUGAAUCGUCAAUGGGGCUAGGGUUUAAUUCACUGGUAAACUUUGUCGCAAAUCCGGUAAUGUUUUUAAUUUCAUCGUUGGUAAGCAACAGUAGUUCCUGGGUUCGCUUCAAUUUCCUUUGCAAGUCGUUUAAGGUUUCUAUUGUGGCUGGGUCAUGUUCUAGAGGUGUGGCAUUCACUGGCAAAAUGUAAGCAUCCAGCAAUUUUUGUGUUUCUGGCACCAUAAACUCUCUGGCAAAGUUUGCAAUGUUCGCAAUUUCAUCCUCUGCUAGAAGCAAUUGCUCUUUAUUCUGUUUCAACUCCCUUUUCCAUUCUUGUAACAUUUCAAGUGUUGUGGCAUUUUCUACGGCCAUCGAGUCAUUUCCAUCAUUUCUGGACAGGGUAAUGUUUUGAUAUUCUAUCUUGACAACAUCGGAAACCUCUUUCAUUUGUUUCUCACACAGAGCUGUAGCAGACAAUUCACGAUGCACGGCCUGCAGAAUGUCGAUGGUCGACAUGUUUUGGUCAGCAGGAUCUGUAGACGUUCCGUUAGCGAAACCCAAACGGUCUGAAAAGGUAUUCAUUGCAUAAUCUGAAAUGUUUCUAAUUUCAUCCUUUGCAAGCAGUGCCUGUUGUUGCAUUUCUUUGAAUCUUGUUUGCCAUUGUUGUAAAAGAUCAAUAGAUGAAGCGUUGGGUCCAGAGGUUGAAUGGCACAAAGCUGCAGCAGUCAAUUCACGAUGCACCGCCUUCAGUACAUCAAUUGUCGAUGCAUUUUUGUCAAGAGACUCAGUAAUCGUUCCAUUAGGAGUAGUCAGGAUGUGUGAAAAUGUAUUUGAGACAAAGUCUGCAAUGUUUUUCACUUCAUCCUUUGCGAGCAGUGCCUGUUGCUCAACUCCUUUGAACUGUCUUUGCCACUCUUGUAAUGUUUCCAUUGCCGAAGCAUUUGGUCCAAGGAUUGCUGGACUUGUUUGGCCAAGUGAAGCCCCUAUUGCUUUUAAACCUAAGCUUAUAAUGUCUUCUGCAUACUUUGCAAUGUUCUCAGUUUCAUCAGCAGUUGAUAACAGUUGAUUUUGGGACUGCUUCAAUGCCCCCUGCAACUCUGUUAAAUUUUGUGUUGGCAUGCUAGUUGGUCCAUCAACCGUGUCAUUUAAAACUCCGUUGGAAACAUUUGCAUUUUCAGAGACCAAAUCAGUCCAAUCUCUCGCAAAACUGUUCAUGCUGAGAAUUCCAUCUUUGGUCAAGAGGAGUUGUUCCUGAGCAGACUUCAAUCCUUGUUGUAUAUCUUUCAUUCUUUCAGCUGCUGCAGUGGUAUUGGUUACAAAUAUUGGGUUACUAGAUUGGCUUGUUGAAGCGAUGGUUUUAUUGUCCCCCAAAUUCAUUAAGUCAAGAGUGGCGAGAGCGAUGUCCUUAAUCUCCUCUUUGGCCACAAGUAAUAUUUCUUUCGCCUGCAUUAAUUUUUCUUGCCAAUCUCGAAGUGUUUGGAUCGGAGUAGUUUUUAGCUCAGGACUUGUGUCAUUUACCUCUUGCACUGAAUCGUCAAUGGGGCUAGGGUUUAAUUCACUGGUAAACUUUGUCGCAAAUCCGGUAAUGUUUUUAAUUUCAUCGUUGGUAAGCAACAGUAGUUCCUGGGUUCGCUUCAAUUUCCUUUGCAAGUCGUUUAAGGUUUCUAUUGUGGCUGGGUCAUGUUCUAGAGGUGUGGCAUUCACUGGCAAAAUGUAAGCAUCCAGCAAUUUUUGUGUUUCUGGCACCAUAAACUCUCUGGCAAAGUUUGCAAUGUUCGCAAUUUCAUCCUCUGCUAGAAGCAAUUGCUCUUUAUUCUGUUUCAACUCCCUUUUCCAUUCUUGUAACAUUUCAAGUGUUGUGGCAUUUUCUACGGCCAUCGAGUCAUUUCCAUCAUUUCUGGACAGGGUAAUGUUUUGAUAUUCUAUCUUGACAACAUCGGAAACCUCUUUCAUUUGUUUCUCACACAGAGCUGUAGCAGACAAUUCACGAUGCACGGCCUGCAGAAUGUCGAUGGUCGACAUGUUUUGGUCAGCAGGAUCUGUAGACGUUCCGUUAGCGAAACCCAAACGGUCUGAAAAGGUAUUCAUUGCAUAAUCUGAAAUGUUUCUAAUUUCAUCCUUUGCAAGCAGUGCCUGUUGUUGCAUUUCUUUGAAUCUUGUUUGCCAUUGUUGUAAAAGAUCAAUAGAUGAAGCGUUGGGUCCAGAGGUUGAAUGGCACAAAGCUGCAGCAGUCAAUUCACGAUGCACCGCCUUCAGUACAUCAAUUGUCGAUGCAUUUUUGUCAAGAGACUCAGUAAUCGUUCCAUUAGGAGUAGUCAGGAUGUGUGAAAAUGUAUUUGAGACAAAGUCUGCAAUGUUUUUCACUUCAUCCUUUGCGAGCAGUGCCUGUUGCUCAACUCCUUUGAACUGUCUUUGCCACUCUUGUAAUGUUUCCAUUGCCGAAGCAUUUGGUCCAAGGAUUGCUGGACUUGUUUGGCCAAGUGAAGCCCCUAUUGCUUUUAAACCUAAGCUUAUAAUGUCUUCUGCAUACUUUGCAAUGUUCUCAGUUUCAUCAGCAGUUGAUAACAGUUGAUUUUGGGACUGCUUCAAUGCCCCCUGCAACUCUGUUAAAUUUUGUGUUGGCAUGCUAGUUGGUCCAUCAACCGUGUCAUUUAAAACUCCGUUGGAAACAUUUGCAUUUUCAGAGACCAAAUCAGUCCAAUCUCUCGCAAAACUGUUCAUGCUGAGAAUUCCAUCUUUGGUCAAGAGGAGUUGUUCCUGAGCAGACUUCAAUCCUUGUUGUAUAUCUUUCAUUCUUUCAGCUGCUGCAGUGGUAUUGGUUACAAAUAUUGGGUUACUAGAUUGGCUUGUUGAAGCGAUGGUUUUAUUGUCCCCCAAAUUCAUUAAGUCAAGAGUGGCGAGAGCGAUGUCCUUAAUCUCCUCUUUGGCCACAAGUAAUAUUUCUUUCGCCUGCAUUAAUUUUUCUUGCCAAUCUCGAAGUGUUUGGAUCGGAGUAGUUUUUAGCUCAGGACUUGUGUCAUUUACCUCUUGCACUGAAUCGUCAAUGGGGCUAGGGUUUAAUUCACUGGUAAACUUUGUCGCAAAUCCGGUAAUGUUUUUAAUUUCAUCGUUGGUAAGCAACAGUAGUUCCUGGGUUCGCUUCAAUUUCCUUUGCAAGUCGUUUAAGGUUUCUAUUGUGGCUGGGUCAUGUUCUAGAGGUGUGGCAUUCACUGGCAAAAUGUAAGCAUCCAGCAAUUUUUGUGUUUCUGGCACCAUAAACUCUCUGGCAAAGUUUGCAAUGUUCGCAAUUUCAUCCUCUGCUAGAAGCAAUUGCUCUUUAUUCUGUUUCAACUCCCUUUUCCAUUCUUGUAACAUUUCAAGUGUUGUGGCAUUUUCUACGGCCAUCGAGUCAUUUCCAUCAUUUCUGGACAGGGUAAUGUUUUGAUAUUCUAUCUUGACAACAUCGGAAACCUCUUUCAUUUGUUUCUCACACAGAGCUGUAGCAGACAAUUCACGAUGCACGGCCUGCAGAAUGUCGAUGGUCGACAUGUUUUGGUCAGCAGGAUCUGUAGACGUUCCGUUAGCGAAACCCAAACGGUCUGAAAAGGUAUUCAUUGCAUAAUCUGAAAUGUUUCUAAUUUCAUCCUUUGCAAGCAGUGCCUGUUGUUGCAUUUCUUUGAAUCUUGUUUGCCAUUGUUGUAAAAGAUCAAUAGAUGAAGCGUUGGGUCCAGAGGUUGAAUGGCACAAAGCUGCAGCAGUCAAUUCACGAUGCACCGCCUUCAGUACAUCAAUUGUCGAUGCAUUUUUGUCAAGAGACUCAGUAAUCGUUCCAUUAGGAGUAGUCAGGAUGUGUGAAAAUGUAUUUGAGACAAAGUCUGCAAUGUUUUUCACUUCAUCCUUUGCGAGCAGUGCCUGUUGCUCAACUCCUUUGAACUGUCUUUGCCACUCUUGUAAUGUUUCCAUUGCCGAAGCAUUUGGUCCAAGGAUUGCUGGACUUGUUUGGCCAAGUGAAGCCCCUAUUGCUUUUAAACCUAAGCUUAUAAUGUCUUCUGCAUACUUUGCAAUGUUCUCAGUUUCAUCAGCAGUUGAUAACAGUUGAUUUUGGGACUGCUUCAAUGCCCCCUGCAACUCUGUUAAAUUUUGUGUUGGCAUGCUAGUUGGUCCAUCAACCGUGUCAUUUAAAACUCCGUUGGAAACAUUUGCAUUUUCAGAGACCAAAUCAGUCCAAUCUCUCGCAAAACUGUUCAUGCUGAGAAUUCCAUCUUUGGUCAAGAGGAGUUGUUCCUGAGCAGACUUCAAUCCUUGUUGUAUAUCUUUCAUUCUUUCAGCUGCUGCAGUGGUAUUGGUUACAAAUAUUGGGUUACUAGAUUGGCUUGUUGAAGCGAUGGUUUUAUUGUCCCCCAAAUUCAUUAAGUCAAGAGUGGCGAGAGCGAUGUCCUUAAUCUCCUCUUUGGCCACAAGUAAUAUUUCUUUCGCCUGCAUUAAUUUUUCUUGCCAAUCUCGAAGUGUUUGGAUCGGAGUAGUUUUUAGCUCAGGACUUGUGUCAUUUACCUCUUGCACUGAAUCGUCAAUGGGGCUAGGGUUUAAUUCACUGGUAAACUUUGUCGCAAAUCCGGUAAUGUUUUUAAUUUCAUCGUUGGUAAGCAACAGUAGU